rnacentral:rRNA from 1 species
UAAGGGCGCACGGUGGAUGCCUUGGCACUAGAAGCCGAUGAAGGACGUUACUAACGACGAUAUGCUUUGGGGAGCUGUAAGUAAGCUUUGAUCCAGAGAUUUCCGAAUGGGGAAACCCAGCAUGAGUUAUGUCAUGUUAUCGAUAUGUGAAUACAUAGCAUAUCAGAAGGCACACCCGGAGAACUGAAACAUCUUAGUACCCGGAGGAAGAGAAAGAAAAUUCGAUUCCCUUAGUAGCGGCGAGCGAAACGGGAAGAGCCCAAACCAACAAGCUUGCUUGUUGGGGUUGUAGGACACUCUAUACGGAGUUACAAAGGACGACAUUAGACGAAUCAUCUGGAAAGAUGAAUCAAAGAAGGUAAUAAUCCUGUAGUCGAAAAUGUUGUCUCUCUUGAGUGGAUCCUGAGUACGACGGAGCACGUGAAAUUCCGUCGGAAUCUGGGAGGACCAUCUCCUAAGGCUAAAUACUCUCUAGUGACCGAUAGUGAACCAGUACCGUGAGGGAAAGGUGAAAAGCACCCCGGAAGGGGAGUGAAAUAGAACCUGAAACCGUGUGCUUACAAGUAGUCAGAGCCCGUUAAUGGGUGAUGGCGUGCCUUUUGUAGAAUGAACCGGCGAGUUACGAUUUGAUGCAAGGUUAAGCAGUAAAUGUGGAGCCGUAGCGAAAGCGAGUCUGAAUAGGGCGUUUAGUAUUUGGUCGUAGACCCGAAACCAGGUGAUCUACCCUUGGUCAGGUUGAAGUUCAGGUAACACUGAAUGGAGGACCGAACCGACUUACGUUGAAAAGUGAGCGGAUGAACUGAGGGUAGCGGAGAAAUUCCAAUCGAACCUGGAGAUAGCUGGUUCUCUCCGAAAUAGCUUUAGGGCUAGCCUCAAGUGAUGAUUAUUGGAGGUAGAGCACUGUUUGGACGAGGGGCCCCUCUCGGGUUACCGAAUUCAGACAAACUCCGAAUGCCAAUUAAUUUAACUUGGGAGUCAGAACAUGGGUGAUAAGGUCCGUGUUCGAAAGGGAAACAGCCCAGACCACCAGCUAAGGUCCCAAAAUAUAUGUUAAGUGGAAAAGGAUGUGGCGUUGCCCAGACAACUAGGAUGUUGGCUUAGAAGCAGCCAUCAU